rnacentral:rRNA from 1 species
UGGGGAAUUUUGCACAAUGGGGGAAACCCUGAUGCAGCGACGCCGCGUGAUUUAGAAGGCCUUCGGGUUGUAAAAAUCUUUUUUACGGGAUGAAAAUGACAGUACCGUAAGAAUAAGGUCCGGCUAAAUACGUGCCAGCAGCCGCGGUAAUACGUAUGGACCGAGCGUUGUCCGGAAUCAUUGGGCGUAAAGGGUACGUAGGCGGCCUAGUAAGUUAGAAGUGAAAUAAUAUAGCUCAACUAUAUAAAGCUUUUAAAACUGCUAGGCUUGAGAGAUGGAAGGGAAAGUGGAAUUCCUAGUGUAGCGGUGAAAUGCGCAGAUAUUAGGAAGAAUACCGGUGGCGAAGGCGACUUUCUGGCCAUCAUCUGACGCUGAGGUACGAAAGCGUGGGUAGCAAACAGG